rnacentral:rRNA from 1 species
GAUGAACGCUGGCGGCGUGCCUAAUACAUGCAAGUCGAGCGAACGGACGAGAGGCUUGCUUCUCUGAUGUUAGCGGCGGACGGGUGAGUAACACGUGGAUAACCUACCUAUAAGACUGGGAUAACUUCGGGAAACCGGAGCUAAUACCGGAUAAUAUUUUAAACCGCAUGGUUCAAAAGUGAAAGACGGUCUUGCUGUCACUUAUAGAUGGAUCCGCGCUGCAUUAGAUAGUUGGUAAGGUAACGGCUUACCAAGGCAACGAUGCAUAGCCGACCUGAGAGGGUGAUCGGCCACACUGGAACUGAGACACGGUCCAGACUCCUACGGGAGGCAGCAGUAGGGAAUCUUCCGCAAUGGGCGAAAGCCUGACGGAGCAACGCCGCGUGAGUGAUGAAGGUCUUCGGAUCGUAAAACUCUGUUAUUAGGGAAGAACAUAUGUGUAAGUAACUGUGCACAUCUUGACGGUACCUAAUCAGAAAGCCACGGCUAACUACGUG